rnacentral:tRNA from 1 species
AAAAAGAUAAGCUAAUAAUAAGCUAUUAGGUUCAUACCCUAAAUAUAGAGUAAUUCUUCUUUUUA